GGGCGUGUAGCUCAGUUGGUAGAGCGUGUCAUUAGCACCUACUAUUUGACAAGGUCUUUGGUUCAAUUCCUAACUCGUCCA
rnacentral:tRNA from 1 species